rnacentral:rRNA from 1 species
GACGAACGCUGGCGGCGUGCUUAACACAUGCAAGUCGAACGGAAAGGCCCUGCUUGCCGGGUGCUCGAGUGGCGAACGGGUGAGUAAUACGUGGGUGAUCUGCCCCUUACUUUGGGAUAAGCCUGGGAAACUGGGUCUAAUACUGGAUAGGACCAUGCUGUAGGUGGUGUGGUGGAAAGAUUAGUUUCGGUAAGGGAUGAGCUCGCGGCCUAUCAGCUUGUUGGUGGGGUAAUGGCCUACCAAGGCGUCGACGGGUAGCCGGCCUGAGAGGGUGGACGGCCACAUUGGGACUGAGAUGCGGCCCAGACUCCUACGGGAUGCAGCAGUGGGGAAUAUUGCACAAUAGGCGCAAGCCUGAUGCAGCGACGCCGCGUGGGUGAUGACGGCCUUCGGGUUGUAAACUCCUUUCAGCCAUGACGAAGCCCUUGUGGUGACGGUAGUGGUAGAAGAAGCACCGGCUAACUACGUG